rnacentral:rRNA from 1 species
UACGUAGGGGCUAGCGUUAUCCGGAAUUACUGGGCGUAAAGGGUGCGUAGGUGGUUUCUCAAGUCAGAGGUGAAAGGCUACGGCUCAACCGUAGUAAGCCUUUGAAACUGAGAAACUUGAGUGCAGGAGAGGAGAGUAGAAUUCCUAGUGUAGCGGUGAAAUGCGUAGAUAUUAGGAGGAAUACCAGUUGCGAAGGCGGCUCUCUGGACUGUAACUGACACUGAGGCACGAAAGCGUGGGGAGCAAACAGGAUUAGAUACCCUGGUAGUCCCU